AUGCUUCCCCCAUUGCGGAUGAGGGGCCACACGAAGGCUGUGCAGAUGCAGUACGACGAGCACUACACUCCGUAUUUCAGGAGAGCACGGAUGUUGGGUUUCGUUCUUCAGUUGAAAAGGCAGCCGCCGACGCUCGUGCACUCGGCUCUUACGGCAUUGAUCGACCGGUGGCGCCCCGUGACGUACAGUUUUCAUCUCACUUGUGGUGAGAUGACAGUGACUCUCGAGGACUUCGGCAUGAUCACGGCCCUGCCCAUCGAGGGCCAUGCCCUGACCGGGCGAGUGGAGAGGGCCAACUGGCUGGAGAGGGUGAUCGCCCUGAUCGGCGACUGCCCUCCCAUGAAGGGGAAUAGAACAUUCGGUGUGCGGCUCAAGUGGCUCCUGGAGAACUGGUCCGUUUGCCCGCAAGAUGCCGAUCAGCGGACCGUGGAGCAGUACGCGAGGGCCUAUUUGUGGUACCUUCUGACGGAGGUCAUCUUUCCAGACUGCUCGGGGGAUUGCCGCCUAUGGAUGUAUCUCGGAUUCCUGGAGGACUGGGAUGCGGGGUACAGCUGGGGGUCCGCCGGCCUAGCUUACCUAUACCGCUCGCUGGAUGACGCGACGCAGAGGACCGAAGAUACCUCUGGCGUGUGUGGAUUUGUUUGGGCCCUUUCAAUUUGGAUGUGGGAGCGGAUACCGGUCGGCCGUCCAGAGAGAGUUCGCUCGCGUGCAUGGACGGAUUAUGGUGAAGAAGGUGAUAGUGCUCGCUACCCGACCGUCGCUUACGCUUGGGACAAGGUGAAGGUCUACACGGGCAAGGCCACUACCCUGUAUAAGCUCUUCAGCAACGAGCUGGACAACCUAUCAGAUUUCCAGGUGAACUGGUUUCCGUACCGUGACCGAGAAUGGGGGUUCGAGCUCAACUCGAUGUGCAAGGAGGAUCGGCUUGCCUGGCGGUGCAUUGUGCCCUUGAUAUGUGUGUAUGCCGUCGAGUGGCACUUACCACAGCGUGUGGCCACACAGUUUGGGAUCUUGCAACAUACCCCACCGGGUAAACCCACAGACACCGGCGGCUCCGACCUUCACUGGAAGAGUAGAAAGAAUUGUCAGUCCAUCACAGACUGGGGGCACGAGCACCAGGAGUACGUGAAAAUGUGGGACGAGAGAAGGUAUCACAAAGACAGCGAGAGGAGAGUGGUUCACUGGGACACCUACUGUGAACGCCACCUGAAGUGGUAUGACGAUGGUGUCAAGUACCAUGUACGCCUGAGGCCGCAGUGGACGGAACACGAUAUCGCCUAA
rnacentral:rRNA from 1 species